rnacentral:rRNA from 1 species
AACGCUAGCUACAGGCUUAACACAUGCAAGUCGAGGGGCAGCACGGGAGUAGCAAUACAACUGGUGGCGACCGGCGCACGGGUGAGUAACGCGUAUGCAACCUACCUAUCAGAGGGGAAUAACCCGGCGAAAGUCGGACUAAUACCGCAUAAAACAGGGACACCGCAUGGUGAUAUUUGUUAAAGAAAUUCGCUGAUAGAUGGGCAUGCGUUCCAUUAGGUAGUUGGUGAGGUAACGGCUCACCAAGCCGACGAUGGAUAGGGGAACUGAGAGGUUGGUCCCCCACACUGGUACUGAGACACGGACCAGACUCCUACGGGAGGCAGCAGUGAGGAAUAUUGGUCAAUGGGCGAGAGCCUGAACCUGCCAAGUCGCGUGAAGGAAGACGGCCCUAUGGGUUGUAAACUGCUUUUAUAAGGGAAUAAAGUGAGUCUCGUGAGACUUUUUGCAUGUACCUUAUGAAUAAGGACCGGCUAAUUCCGUGCCAGCAGCCGCGGUAAUACGGAAGGUCCGGGCGUUAUCCGGAUUUAUUGGGUUUAAAGGGAGCGUAGGCCGGAGAUUAAGCGUGUUGUGAAAUGUAGAGGCUCAACCUCUGCACUGCAGCGCGAACUGGUCUUCUUGAGUACGCACAACGUGGGCGGAAUUCGUGGUGUAGCGGUGAAAUGCUUAGAUAUC